ensembl:lncRNA novel transcript
GGGCUGGCCUUUUCCUCUCCCAGAGAGGAUACCGGGACGCUCCUGAAGCCGCGAGAUGAUUUCAAGCAGAUGCAGCCUGACCAUUAGGGCCAAGGCCAAAUUGCAAAAAAAAAAAGAAGUUUGCCUUUAUUCUACUCCAUCCACAUCUAAACUUUGGAGGUCAAGGCUGUGGACAGAUCAGAAGACAUAGUUCCCUCCUUCUGGGGCUCCACAUCCUUCAUUCACUGAUCUCUGGGAAGGAGGAUGGGUGGCAGGAUGGGUCUUCCAUGAUACUGAAGGGAGAGCCACAUGUUGAUGCCCAGGACCAGCUGCCUCCUUGGUCUGAAAGGCCUGAUCGAGGCCAGGAUUGGCUAUGAGAGCUGGGAAAUGGGACCAUCUUUGAAGCCAUGGGAGAGGGUGAGAGCCACCAUCACUCAUGUUCUUGAAUGGGAACUGCCUGGAGACCCUGAAGAAGAAGGAGCCUGAAGGAGGAAGGAGGAGGCUGAGCCAUCCCGGGAACAUGGGCUGGAUGAGGCCAAGCCAGGAGACGACACCACCAGAUAGAAGUCACCAUUCAGGAUUUGGACUUUUCUGUGGAGAUCCUGGCCCCGAGAUCGAACCCUUCUCCCUGUGGGUGUUCCCGCAGGAGAUGGUGCUGGAGAUCCACCAGCUGUUCAUGGACCAUGAAUACCCAUGUCACCACAUCACUUCUCACUGCACCUGGGUGGCAGCACACUGGACCACGUCUCAGAGCUGCGCAGCAUGGCAGGGCUGCAGGCGGGCUUGCUGCUCCACGUGGUGGAAGCCCCUGAAAGUGCUCACCGUGAGCGGCUGGUACCUGUCCCCUGGGAACUGCAAGAUGCACAGGACCUUGUGUACCUGUUUGUGAUCACAGCCGAGGACCAGCGAGGUAGCAUUACCACAUCCACACAGGGCUUUUACCAUAACUGCCCCAGUACUGGAACGAGGAGCUGCAGAUGAUGAGGGACCUACCCAACAAGAACCAACCUGAGCAGCUGCUUCAAGAAAAAGCCAUGUUCAAGGUGCCUGAAUCCCCUGGUAAGUGAGUGACAGCCUCACAGCCUCAGGCCCACCUGGCUCCUGCUGGAAGGUUUUCUUGUGCUCGGGAGAGAAGUGAGGGAAGCCGGCAGUCCCAGCCCUGUCAGGUGCCCUGAAGGCCCGUCAGGUUUGCCCUGCAAGGCCUUCUAGCAUUCUGCUUCCUGGGAGACCAUCCCCCACCUUUCUCCGGCCUCUGAGACUUUGAGUCCUUGGGAGGAGAAGGCCCUCCUUGCUAUCUGGGCUGAGUGGCCAGGGCCAUCCAGCUUCCCACCCUCCACUGACUGCCAUGGGGCCCUCCCCUGAGCACAUGGUGCCCAACUGUAGCCCUUCUAGGGCAGGGGCUCAUUGGCAGCACUUGCAGCUUGCUGGCACUUAAAAGUCAUUAGUGCGGUUACUGAGAGAAAUGAGGAAAAAAUAAUUGUUAAAAAAAAAAAAAAA